rnacentral:rRNA from 1 species
UUGGUGACCAGCGGAGGGACAUUACCGAGUUUACAACUCCCAAACCCAAUGUGCAUGUUACCAAACUGUUGCCUCGGCGGGAUCUCUGCCCCGGGUGCGUCGCAGCCCCGGACCAAGGCGCCCGCCGGAGGACCAACCAAAACUCUUUUUGUAUACCCCCUCGCGGGUUUUUUAUAAUCUGAGCCUUCUCGGCGCCUCUCGUAGGCGUUUCGAAAAUGAAUCAAAACUUUCAACAACGGAUCUCUUGGUUCUGGCAUCGAUGAAGAACGCAGCGAAAUGCGAUAAGUAAUGUGAAUUGCAGAAUUCAGUGAAUCAUCGAAUCUUUGAACGCACAUUGCGCCCGCCAGUAUUCUGGCGGGCAUGCCUGUCCGAGCGUCAUUUCAACCCUCGAACCCCUCCGGGGGGUCGGCGUUGGGGAUCGGCCCUGCCUCUUGGCGGUGGCCGUCUCCGAAAUACAGUGGCGGUCUCGCCGCAGCCUCUCCUGCGCAGUAGUUUGCACACUCGCAUCGGGAGCGCGGCGCGUCCACAGCCGUUAAACACCCAACUUCUGAAAUGUUGACCUCGGAUCAGGUAGGAAUACCCGCUGAACUUAAGCAUAUCAU